rnacentral:rRNA from 1 species
AACGAACGCUGGCGGCAGGCCUAACACAUGCAAGUCGAACGCACCGUAAGGUGAGUGGCGCACGGGUGAGUAACACGUGGGAAUGUACCCUUUGGUUCGGAAUAACGUUUGGAAACGAACGCUAAUACCGGAUGAGCCCUACGGGGGAAAGAUUUAUCGCCAAAGGAGCAGCCCGCGUCUGAUUAGCUAGUUGGUGGGGUAAAGGCCUACCAAGGCGACGAUCAGUAGCUGGUCUGAGAGGAUGAUCAGCCACACUGGGACUGAGACACGGCCCAGACUCCUACGGGAGGCAGCAGUGGGGAAUAUUGGACAAUGGGCGCAAGCCUGAUCCAGCCAUGCCGCGUGAGUGAUGAAGGCCUUCGGGUUGUAAAGCUCUUUCGCACACGACGAUGAUGACGGUAGUGUGAGAAGAAGCCCCGGCUAACUUCGUGCCAGCAGCCGCCGUAAGAC